ACCGUACUCCUACGGGAGGCAGCAGUGGGGAAUAUUGGACAAUGGGGGAAACCCUGAUCCAGCGACGCCGCGUGAGUGAAGAAGUAUUUCGGUAUGUAAAGCUCUAUCAGCAGGGAAGAAAAUGACGGUACCUGACUAAGAAGCCCCGGCUAACUACGUGCCAGCAGCCGCGGUAAUACGUAGGGGGCAAGCGUUAUCCGGAUUUACUGGGUGUAAAGGGAGCGUAGACGGCACUGCAAGUCUGGAGUGAAAGCCCGGGGCUCAACCCCGGGACUGCUUUGGAAACUGUGGUGCUAGAGUGCAGGAGAGGUAAGUGGAAUUCCUAGUGUAGCGGUGAAAUGCGUAGAUAUUAGGAGGAACACCAGUGGCGAAGGCGGCUUACUGGACUGUAACUGACGUUGAGGCUUGAAAGCGUGGGGAGCAAACAGGAUUAGAAACCCCUGUAGUCCUUGAC
rnacentral:rRNA from 1 species